UUAAAUUGAAGAGUUUGAUCAUGGCUCAGAUUGAACGCUGGCGGCAGGCCUAACACAUGCAAGUCGAACGGUAACAGGAAGCAGCUUGCUGCUUUGCUGACGAGUGGCGGACG
rnacentral:rRNA from 18 species